CUCCUCGUAAUGCUGACGACUUUAAGAAAAAUGGACAAGAUGAGACCAGCAUAAAUCUGGGGUGGAAAACAGUCCCCAACAUCGACAAUUAUAUUCUUGCGUUUAAUGGGAGCAAGAUCAAUAUUAGUAAUUCUGAAAAAGAAUACAGUGUUAAAUUUGACCAGUGGAACCAGAUACAAUUUCACUCUCUUCACUGUGUUUGAUAAUGUCAGAAGCAGUGGAGUAAACUGCAUCGCAGUUACUGCUCCUCGUAAUGCUGACGACUUUAAGAAAAAUGGACAAAAUGAGACCAGCAUAACUCUGGGGUGGAAAACAGUCCCCAACAUCGACAAAUACAUUCUUGCAUUUAAUGAAAGAGAGAUCAACAUUAGUAAUUCUGAAAAAGAAUACAGAGUGUUAAAUUUGACCAGUGGAACCAGAUACAAUUUCACUCUCUUCACUGUGUUUGAUAAUGUCAGAAGCAGUGGAGUAAACUGCAUCGCAGUUACUGGUGAGAUGUAAUUUCUCUAACAUAGAUAGAUAAACCAGGAUGGACCGGCUCAUUAGUACUUGAAACUUUAGCUGAUGGAGAGUUUUGUUGUUUUUUUUUGUGUGUUUUUUUUGUUUGUUUGUUUAUCAAAACCGCUUUCCUCUGUUAUCUUUAGCUCCACAAAGUGUUAAUAAUGUGACUGUGGUGCAUCAAAAUGAGAUGAGUAUACCACUGGAGUGGGACAAGGUUAAAAACAUCCCAGAAUACAUCCUACAGAAUAAUAACAUAAACAUUUGUUCAAUUUUCC
ensembl:lncRNA